rnacentral:hammerhead_ribozyme from 1 species
AUCCGAUUGAUGAGUCCCAAAUAGGAUGAAACGCACAUCCUGGAU